rnacentral:rRNA from 1 species
GACGAACGCUGGCGGCGUGCUUAACACAUGCAAGUCGAACGGAAAGGCCCUGCUUGCAGGGUACUCGAGUGGCGAACGGGUGAGUAACACGUGGGUGAUCUGCCCUGCACUUCGGGAUAAGCCUGGGAAACUGGGUCUAAUACCGGAUAGGAGCCAUUUUUAGUGUGAUGGUUGGAAAGUUUUUUCGGUGUAGGAUGAGCUCGCGGCCUAUCAGCUUGUUGGUGGGGUGAUGGCCUACCAAGGCGGCGACGGGUAGCCGGCCUGAGAGGGUGGACGGCCACAUUGGGACUGAGAUACGGCCCAGACUCCUACGGGAGGCAGCAGUGGGGAAUAUUGCACAAUGGGCGCAAGCCUGAUGCAGCGACGCCGCGUGGGGGAUGACGGCCUUCGGGUUGUAAACUCCUUUCGCUAGGGACGAAGCUUUUUGUGACGGUACCUAGAGAAGAAGCACCGGCUAACUACGUG